UGGAUCCUCUAUCAAAGCUUUAUCCUAGAAAGACCAGGAACAUACUUAGUGACAAUUCUGCUGACAUGAUACUGAAAAUGAAUUGAUGAUGUCCUCUUUCAUUUUUCAAUUUUUCUUCCUUUUCAACCUAUGAUGGCAUAAGAACUUAAAAGAAUAAACUCAUUCCUCAAUCAUUUAUUUCCUCUCAAUAUCUCAACAAUAAGUGGCUGCACUGUAAAUUUGAAAUUCCCAGUAAAUGGGAAAAGACAUGUAAAAACCAGUAAGAA
rnacentral:misc_RNA from 1 species